rnacentral:rRNA from 1 species
UACGGAGGGAGCUAGCGUUGUUCGGAAUUACUGGGCGUAAAGCGCACGUAGGCGGCUUUGUAAGUUAGAGGUGAAAGCCCGGAGCUCAACUCCGGAACUGCCUUUAAGACUGCAUCGCUUGAAUCCGGGAGAGGUGAGUGGAAUUCCGAGUGUAGAGGUGAAAUUCGUAGAUAUUCGGAAGAACACCAGUGGCGAAGGCGGCUUACUGGACCGGUAUUGACGCUGAGGUGCGAAAGCGUGGGGAGCAAACAGG